rnacentral:tRNA from 1 species
CUGGGUGUGGCUCAGUGAUAGAGCACUUGUCUAGCUUGCAGGAGGCCCUGGGUUCAAUCCCCAGCACCAAAA